UACAGGGGGGUGCAAACGUUGCUCGGAAUCAUUGGGCGUAAAGCGCACGUAGGCGGUUCGUUAUGUCGGAUGUGAAAGCCCUUGGCUUAACCGAGGAAGUGCAUCCGAAACUGGCGAGCUAGAGUACUAAAGAGGAUCGCGGAAUUCCCGGUGUAGAGGUGAAAUUCGUAGAUAUUAGGCUAGAACACCAGUGGCAGAAGGCGGCCACUGGUCGGUACUGACGCUGAGGUGCGAAAGCGUGGGGAGCAAACAGG
rnacentral:rRNA from 1 species